rnacentral:tRNA from 13 species
UCCUCAGUAGCUCAGCGGUAGAGCGGUCGGCUGUUAACUGACUGGUCGUAGGUUCGAAUCCUACUUGGGGAGA